rnacentral:rRNA from 1 species
GAGCGGUAUUGUUUCUUCGGAAACGAGAGAGCGGCGCACGGGUGCGGAACACGUGUGCAACCUGCCUUUAUCUGGGGGAUAGCCUUUCGAAAGGAAGAUUAAUACCCCAUAAUAUUUUGAAUGGCAUCAUUUAAAAUUGAAAACUCCGGUGGAUAGAGAUGGGCACGCGCAAGAUUAGAUAGUUGGUAGGGUAACGGCCUACCAAGUCAGUGAUCUUUAGGGGGCCUGAGAGGGUGAUCCCCCACACUGGUACUGAGACACGGACCAGACUCCUACGGGAGGCAGCAGUGAGGAAUAUUGGACAAUGGGUGAGAGCCUGAUCCAGCCAUCCCGCGUGAAGGACGGCGGCCCUAUGGGUUGUAAACUUCUUUUGUACAGGGAUAAACCUUUCCACGUGUGGAAAGCUGAAGGUACUGUACGAAUAAGCACCGGCUAACUCCGUG